rnacentral:misc_RNA from 1 species
UCGAAAUAAGCAUGAACGAGCUGUCGCUGUCCUGUGCACGCUCGCUCGUCCCCUUUAUUUCUCCAUCUAUCUUGUGCAUUGCCUGUGUAGGUCGCGUGUCUGAGGGUCUCCUCGGACGAUUGGGUCUGCUUUUUGCAAAAAAGGGCUUUCCUUGGAUCUAUGUCUCUUCACAUAUACACAUCUCUGUAUGGAAGGAAAUAUAAUAUAUGAAUUUGUUUAUA